rnacentral:rRNA from 1 species
GAUAAACGCUAGCGGCAGGCUUAACACAUGCAAGUCGAGGGGCAGCAUAGAUUGUAGCAAUACAAUUGGUGGCGACCGGCGCACGGGUGCGUAACGCGUAUGCAACCUACCCGUCACAGGGGGAUAAUCCGGAGAAAUCUGGUCUAAUACCCCAUAACAUAUGGAUCGGCAUCGGUUCAUGUUGAAAUUUUCGGAGGUGACGGAUGGGCAUGCGUAGCAUUAGCUUGUUGGUGAGGUAGCGGCUCACCAAGGCGACGAUGCUUAGGGGGACUGAGAGGUUUUCCCCCCACACUGGUACUGAGACACGGACCAGACUCCUACGGGAGGCAGCAGUGAGGAAUAUUGGUCAAUGGGCGCAAGCCUGAACCAGCCAUGCCGCGUGCAGGAUGACGGCUCUAUGAGUUGUAAACUGCUUUUGUACGAGGGUAAAGUGGGUUACGUGUAACCUUUUGAAAGUAUCGUACGAAUAAGGGUCGGCUAACUCCGUGCCAGCAGCCGCAGUAA